GGCGCGCUGGGAGGAAGGAAGGGCCCAGCGUGCAGGUGACUCCGUCCGGCCAUGGCGCGGGGGCGGAGGAUGCGGGCGGCCGGGCGUGGCACGCCUCGCCCAGGCUGCGCUUCCCGCCCCGGCCUCGGAGCGAUGGGUCCGCUAGAGCUUGGCGCCUAGAUUUGGCGGGGCUCGGGGCAAAGCACCCUGUACUAACUACUCAGCGGGUCCCACUCGCCAAGAGUCGAUUUUCGUCCUCACCACAGACUUGGGAGGGAGGUCUCAUUUUGCUAAUGAGAAAACGGAGGCUCAGAGGGGUGAGCCGAUUUGCCCGAGGUCGCACAGGAAGAGGCGGAAUUCCUAGCGAGUAAGCUGGACACAAAAUAAAGAAAUGGAGGCCCAGGGAGCUGAAGUUCUUUCCCAGCAUUUGCUGCCAGGAGUCUCUCCACCAUGAGGAAUGAGGCCAAGGCAGCCCGGCAACCUCCGUGCAUCCUGAUCUCCCUGAGCCCUCUCUGCAGCCUUAAGUCUCCACAGACUUUUUCCUAAUAGACAGAUGUGGCAACCAAGGCUCAGUGAAUUUGGCUGCAACCCUUCUCUCAUCUGAGAAUGAGGAAAAUCAGCUCCUUUAUACCCCAAGCUGUGCGACCUCAGGCAAAUCAGCUCACCUCCCUGGGCCUCAGUCCCUUCAUCUGUAAAAUGGGCACACCGUCUCUGAAGUGCCCAGCCUAGUGCUGGACGCAGCGCCAACAGCGGUGAGUAAGAGCGUCAGCCUCUCACCAAGAGAAGAGACCCCACGAGCCAGCCUGUGGCUGCUGGAGAUGGCCAGGCCCCUUCUGUCCUGCUGUGAAGGGGGUGGGAGGGAGCGGGUCUCAGCUCCCUGCCCUUAUGGAAAACCUAGCCAGAGGCUUGAGUGUUUCCAGACCUCUCUGGGCAGGGGAUGGGUUACGUAACGCCAGAUGUUUGUGAAACUGGCUCAGGCCCAGGUCUGAGACACACUUUGCAAUCCCAGAGCCACUUGUAAGCCCGCUCUCCCUUCCCCCAUACGUGGCUCCCCCUUGGCCCAGGGCUGGCGAGAGGCGGUUGCUGACUGGAAGCUUUCAGCUGUGUAGAUUAUUCCAUCACCCCUCACUCCAAAAGCUGAAAGCAGCCCCCAAGCCUGCCCCGGAAGUGGAAAAUCCACUCGCUUGCUGAGACCAGGGUGAGUUUAAGAGCUCUGCUCCCACCUCUCCUGUCAUGCGAGGGCCCCAGCUGCCUCCUCCUCAGCCCCCACUCUCUCUCCUUUGCUUAACAACCCCCUCCUCCCUCCCCUCCCCAUGUCUGUCCACCCUCA